GUAGGUGGCAAGCGUUGUCCGGAAUUAUUGGGCGUAAAGCGCGCGCAGGCGGUCCUUUAAGUCUGAUGUGAAAGCCCACGGCUCAACCGUGGAGGGUCAUUGGAAACUGGGGGACUUGAGUACAGAAGAGGAAAGCGGAAUUCCAGUGUAGCGGAGAAAUGCGUAGAGAUUUGGAGGAACACCAGUGGCGAAGGUGGCUUUCUGGUCUGUAACUGACGCUGAGGCGCGAAAGCGUGGGGAGCAAACAGGAUUAGAUACCCUGGUAGUCCACGCCGUAAACGAUGAGUGCUAAGUGUUAGGGGGUUUCCCGCCCCCCUUAGUGCUGCAGCUAACGCAUUAAGCACUCCGCCUGGGGAGUACGGCCGCAAGGCUG
rnacentral:rRNA from 1 species